ACCCACACACCACCCUGAACGUGCCCGAUCUCAUCUGAUCUCGGAAGCUAAGCAGGGUUGGGCCUGGUUAGUACUUGGAUGGGAGACAGCAUCUUCUUUUCUUUUUGGUUUUUCCAGACAUGGUUU
ensembl:rRNA 5S_rRNA 5S ribosomal RNA